UGAUUUUAGGUGCUUGCAUUGGAAAGACCUAGCAUUGAGACGAGUGGCGAACUGGUGAGUAACACGUGGGUAACCUGCCCUUGAAGUAGGGGAUAACACUUGGAAACAGGUGCUAAUACCGUAUAACAACCAAAACCACCUGGUUUUGGUUUAAAAGACGGCUUCGGCUGUCACUUUAGGAUGGACCCGCGGCGUAUUAGCUUGUUGGUAAGGUAACGGCCUACCAAGGCGAUGAUACGUAGCCGACCUGAGAGGGUAAUCGGCCACAUUGGGACUGAGACACGGCCCAAACUCCUACGGGAGGCAGCAGUAGGGAAUCUUCCACAAUGGACGAAAGUCUGAUGGAGCAACGCCGCGUGAGUGAUGAAGGGUUUCGGCUCGUAAAACUCUGUUGUUGGAGAAGAACAGGUGUCGGAGUAACUGUUGACAUCUUGACGGUAUCCAACCAGAAAGCCACGGCUAACUACGUGCCAGCAGCCGCGGUAAUACGUAGGUGGCAAGCGUUGUCCGGAUUUAUUGGGCGUAAAGCGAGCGCAGGCGGUUUUUUAGGUCUGAUGUGAAAGCCUUCGGCUUAACCGGAGAAGUGCAUCGGAAACCGGGAGACUUGAGUGCAGAAGAGGACAGUGGAACUCCAUGUGUAGCGGUGAAAUGCGUAGAUAUAUGGAAGAACACCAGUGGCGAAGGCGGCUGUCUGGUCUGUAACUGACGCUGAGGCUCGAAAGCAUGGGUAGCGAACAGGAUUAGAUACCCUGGUAGUCCAUGCCGUAAACGAUGAGUGCUAAGUGUUGGAGGGUUUCCGCCCUUCAGUGCUGCAGCUAACGCAUUAAGCA
rnacentral:rRNA from 1 species